UCAUAUAACCUCUUCCAUCUCAGUUUCUGAAACAUAAAAUAGGAAAAUAAAUUCAGAGGGGGACUAAAAACAAAAAUCUCUCCUCUGAGAUAUUCUCCAAAAAGAUUGUAGAUGAAAUGGAUGAUUUGGAAGAAGAUACUAAGCGUGUCGACGACAAAGAAAAUGGUGAAACGAAGACGCCUGUUGUUGCAGGGAUCAAUCUUGUUUUGAUGAUGUCUUUCCUAUCGUUGUCCGAGGAAGAUGGCUCCAAAAUCGAUGAAAUCCAGGAAAUUGAAACGUCGGAUUCCGAACAUAAAUAUGUGCAUGGGCACAGCAUUCAGGCAAGAAGGCAGCAGGCAGCAAGUGAACCGGCUUCCGACCAUCGAAAGGCAAACAACGUCUAGGGUUCAUACCAAGAUAAGAGACUCUAGGCAUUGCAGACGAUUCUGAAUUUCCAAGAACGAGGCAUGCAUUCUACUUCUAGAUGGACCAAUUUUGCUUUGAGGCUUGCUUUUUUUAGGCAAGCUAGUUAGGAGAAGAAAUCAAAGUUUUUGUAGUUUGUUAA